rnacentral:misc_RNA from 1 species
UGCUAUUUUUGCAUUCCUGUUCUUCAAUUUCCUUGAGCUCAUCCUGGAGUUUCUUCUCCUCCUUCUGCAACUCACCAAUGUAAUCAAUUGCAUCCCCAAGGAUAGCAGCUUUAUUCAUCUUUGAUAUCUUGGGAACUAGAGCUCGCAGAGUAAAGAGGCCAUCUUUCAUCCUGUUCCUCCUGUUCCUCUCAGUGACAAGAUUCUUAGAUCUGAAAUUCUCUCUUUCAG